CCAAUAGCGUAUAUUAAAGUUGUUGCAGUUAAAAAGCUCGUAGUUGAACUUCAGGCCUGGCUGGACGGUCCGCCUUCUGGGUGAGUACUGUCUGUGGUCGGGUCCUACCUUCUGGCGAAGCGGCAUGGCCUUAACCGGCCGUGGCGGGGAGCCAGGACUUUUACUGUGAAAAAAUUAGAGUGUUCAAAGCAGGCACGCGCUUGAAUACAUUAGCAUGGCAUAAUGGAAUAGGACAGUGGUUCUAUUUGUUGGUUUCUAGGACCGUUGUAAUGAUUAAUAGGGAUAGUUGGGGGCAUUAGUAUUCAAUUGUCAGAGGUGAAAUUCUUGGAUUUAUUGAAGACUAACUACUGCGAAAGCAUUUGCCAAGGAUGUUUUCAUUAAUCAAGAACGAAAGUUAGGGGAUCGAAGACGAUCAGAUACCGUCGUAGUCUUAACCAUAAACUAUGCCGACUAGGAAUCGGGCGAUGUUGACAAAAUGACGCGCUCGGCGCCUCAUG
rnacentral:rRNA from 1 species